ensembl:lncRNA
AGGGUGAGGUGAGAGAACCCCUCUUCCUAGAAGGAGAGGCUUUUCUUAGGUUAAAUGCCUCAAAGUAUAUUCUCUGGUGCGGAAGUAUAUCCUCUGGGGCUUUGAGGAUGAAGAUAGGGCCCAUGCAGGCACCUCUGGACUCCGGCAAAGAAGGGCAAGAACAGACCAACCACUAUUCUAGGGGCCGAGCAAGGAGACUACCACCCCCUGCACGGUUUCACUGAGCGAGGACCCCAGCCAGUUCUGGGGGACUGACCACAGCCUCCUGACCGUCCUGCAGACCCCAGACAGAAGUUGAGGCUGAAGCAGAAUGAGGAGAGCAAAGUGGAGGCCUCACAUGGUUUCCAUGAGUGUUUUCCUGUCUCAGAGGACUGACUUUGAAUAUCAGUGAGGACAUGUGUGUUGGCUUUCUUUCCACUUUUUUCCCACUGAACACCAAUUCUUGGUGGUUCUGACUCUUUCUAGAGCUCUCAGGCAGGCAACCUGGGUGUCCCUCGCCCCUGCGGAAUCGUGCCAAGGCUCUGAUGUGUUGCCAUCGCAGCUGCCCCGGUGUGGGAGGGCAACCAGCCAAGGCCUACGCUUCUCCCGAACAGGACAGCAUGCGAGGCAGCAACAUCGAGCGCAAGGAGGGCCCCGCCGUCCAGCCCUGUGCAGCCCCGCCUGCUUCACUAGACCAGGCUUUGGCUUGAGGAGUCAGGACGCCAAUCUCCCUUUGUCCGUCUCUAGCAACUUCGGGGAGGUGGCUCGAUAGAUCGGCUGUUCCCAAACGGCCUUGGACACAAAUAAACCACCUGGCUCUGCCAUUCGUGGCUUCUGACUGUAGGGACCUUCCUGAACCAGGGAUUGACCCCAUGUCUGCUGCACAGACAGGCAUCUCCUGCACUGGCGAACAGAGUCUUAUCACUGAGCCACCUGGAGAUCGAUAAGUGAUCACAAGGAUUAUUCAAUAAUUGGAGAGACCGUGUCAGCUCACUGCAAUCACAUUUCACUCUAUCCAGUCAAGAACUAUCAAUAUUUUCUCUUUUCCAGCCACAGGGCUAAGCCUGAAGGCUCUUAAAGACAUGGGCAGGGGUUCUUCCUGCAGGAAAUUUCAGCCCCUAGCAGAGAAUCUCUAACUUAUGUUUAUCAAGAUAGAAAGAGGUGGCUCUCUGUUCUAAGUAGAUACAGUUGGUUGGUAAACAGCACUUUCAGGUCUGGCUCAUGCAGAGACAACAUCAGAAAGAGCCCGUAAUUAGUGACCCAGAGCCCAGGACCUGAGCUGGUUAUCUCUAGGGUGCUGGCAGACAUCUGGCCUAAGUAGUAAAGAAGAACCCAGACCUCUGGUCCCGGGGGCACGUUCAGGCUGAGCUGGACCCAUGUAAUUAGCGCUGGGACCAGGCCUCUCUGGCUAUAACCACAGCAGUUACUAGAGAUUCUGUUUAUGUCUCUCCAGCUGGGGGACUGUCCCUCCUGCUC